GCUGUGCAUGUGAGCAGAGGCCAGAGGCGGAGGUGGAGAAGGAGAGGACUUGGGUGAGGAGCUGCUGCCACCCGGGCUGGGCCAGGACCUGAGAUCUCAUUGCUACUGCUGCCGCUGCUGCCUGGGGAACCUUUCUGAGACCCAGGUUGGGGACAGUGCCGGAGGGGCCUCCUCUGCUGCAGACAUCUGGAACCAGGUGCAGAUGGGUCUCUUCCUUCCUGCCCCCAUCUCUCUCACUCCCGGCUCAGUGCGGCACUCUCCAGCCUCCUGUGGGAAUCAUCUGAAGUUCUGAGCCCGGAAGCCAAGGAGGAAGACGAGGAGGAGGAGGAGGAGGAGGAGGGAGAGGAAGUCAAGCCCUGAGAACCCUUGCACCUUCCUAGCAGGAGACAAGGAGCAACGCUGCAGUGGGGAGCAGGCUGUGGGGCCCCCACCCCCAGCCCCAGCCAGGCCUAGUGCCUGCUGCAGCACCCUA
rnacentral:sRNA from 1 species